rnacentral:rRNA from 1 species
AGAGUUUGAUCCUGGCUCAGAUUGAACGCUGGCGGCAGGCCUAACACAUGCAAGUCGAGCGGAUGAAAGGAGCUUGCUCCUGGAUUCAGCGGCGGACGGGUGAGUAAUGCCUAGGAAUCUGCCUGGUAGUGGGGGACAACGUUUCGAAAGGAACGCUAAUACCGCAUACGUCCUACGGGAGAAAGCAGGGGACCUUCGGGCCUUGCGCUAUCAGAUGAGCCUAGGUCGGAUUAGCUAGUUGGUGAGGUAAUGGCUCACCAAGGCGACGAUCCGUAACUGGUCUGAGAGGAUGAUCAGUCACACUGGAACUGAGACACGGUCCAGACUCCUACGGGAGGCAGCAGUGGGGAAUAUUGGACAAUGGGCGAAAGCCUGAUCCAGCCAUGCCGCGUGUGUGAAGAAGGUCUUCGGAUUGUAAAGCACUUUAAGUUGGGAGGAAGGGUUGUAGAUUAAUACUCUGCAAU